rnacentral:rRNA from 1 species
UACGGAGGGUGCGAGCGUUGUCCGGAAUCACUGGGCGUAAAGGGCGCGUAGGCGGCCUGGUAAGUAGGGGGUGAAAUCCUGCGGCUUAACCGCAGGGCUGCCUUCUAAACUGUCAGGCUCGAGCACGGUAGAGGCAGAUGGAAUUCCCGGUGUAGCGGUGGAAUGCGUAGAUAUCAGGAGGAACACCGGUGGCGAAGGCGGGUCUCUGGGCCGAAACUGACGCUGAGGAGCGAAAGCGUGGGGAGCAAACAGG